rnacentral:rRNA from 1 species
AACGUAGGACGCAAGCGUUAUCCGGAGUUACUGGGCGUAAAGGGCGUGCAGGCGGUCUGUUAAGUCUAGGGUGAAAGCUCCCGGCUCAACUGGGAGAGGUCCUUGGAUACUGGCGGACUUGAGGGAGGCAGAGGAAAGUGGAAUUCCCGGUGUAGUGGUGAUAUGCGUAGAUAUCGGGAGGAACACCAGUGGCGAAGGCGGCUUUCUGGGCCUUACCUGACGCUGAGACGCGAAAGCGUGGGGAGCGAACCGG